GUGGGGAAUCUUCCGCAAUGGACGAAAGUCUGACGGAGCAACGCCGCGUGAGUGAUGAAGGUUUUCGGACUGUAAAGCUCUGUUGUUUAGGACGAAAGUGCCUGUUGCAAAUAGUUACAGGUAUUGACGGUACUGAACGAGGAAGCCACGGCUAACUACGUGCCAGCAGCCGCGGUAAUACGUAGGUGGCAAGUGUUGUCCGGAAUUAUUGGGCGUAAAGAGCAUGUAGGCGGGAAUCUAAGUCUGUUGUGGAAAUGCGGGGCUCAACCCCGUAUUGCGAUGGAAACUGGGUUUCUUGAGUGCAGGAGAGGAAAGGGGAAUUCCCAGUGUAGCGGUGAAAUGCGUAGAUAUUGGGAGGAACACCAGUGGCGAAGGCGCCUUUCUGGACUGUGUCUGACGCUGAGAUGCGAAAGCCAGGGUAGCGAACGGGAUUAGAAACCCCGGUAGUCC
rnacentral:rRNA from 1 species